UUCUCAAGUUAUUCCCUCUGUUUUCCCUUUGUUUGGGUCCUUUUACCUCGUGACACACUCGGGAAUCUUCAUUUCGAGCACAGCAAGUAAUCGUCAACUCCCCUGUUUACGUUGAUAAUAAAACGCAUCAACAACAUUCUUCUCCACUAUGAAAAGCUUGGAGCUCUGCUUUUUCCAUUUUUCACGGACAGGACAAUCAAAUGUUUGUUGUGUCCCCUUAGUUCAUCUCUGCCUAUUUGCCUUCAAUGCCUGGGAUCAUCAAAUGCCAAAUUCUCUUUGCCAAUCCUUGUAAGUGUCGUUUGUAAAGUCGUUCCAACUACUACUUACAGUGGCGGUUUAUUAGCAUUCGGAUAUAUUCACCAUAUCUUCAAUCCUAUUCCAAUAUUCAUUUCAUCGUAAUAAUGUCUAACUCUCGGGAUGAAUCUGUGGCUGAUGACAUGAAAGAUUUGUUAUCUAAAGUGGUAUCCUUGGCGAGUUAGAGCGCCUUGUGCAAGAAUACUGUGAGUGUAUUGGAGCCCAAAUCAUCCUCGAAACACCGAAAGCAAGAGAAGGCGGUUCAACCUCUAAUAAUCUCUAAAGAUCUUGAGCUGGCAAAAGAAAGAUCAGUCAAGAACCAUCUUAUGAAGAACCUUCAGCUUAGUUAUCACAACAUAGGGAGUCCUCGGUUGAAGCUAGGCUUUCUUUCUCUUGCGAUUUUCCCUGGGAAUUCCAUCAUAAAGAAGAGAAGCUUAAUAUAUUGGUGGAUAGGGGAGGGUUUAGUUUCCAAAAGUAGAGACAAGACGGCGGAGCAAGUAGGCGAAGAAGUCUAUGAUAAGCUCAUAAAACAAGGCCUAAUUGAGCCCAACGAUAACGAUCCAAGCCCUCUCAUGAAUAGAUGUAAAGUACAUCCCGCAUCCGUUAUAUGCUUAUCUCGUUGGCGCAAGAAGCGGGUUUCUUCUAUUUCAAUUCGAAGGAUGAAACGUCUCUUGAGGUUCUCCAAAAGUGCUCCUUUAGCAGCAGCCGCCCGCACUUAUUAGGUGAAGCAAACAGUCCGCCAUAUAGAGAGGAGGCUAAAGAUGAAGAUGUGUCCACGGUGUUCAAUGUUAAUCAGCAACACCUUAGUCUACGUCGCCAAUGGCUUUUGAAGAUGAAAAAAUUGGCGGUUCCUCAACUAGGGCGGUGGCUGCACUCACCAAC